CAGAGGGUAGUUUAGAUAAAAUAUUAAAUUUGGGUUUUAAAGAUGGAUGUGUUUCUUUCCUCUGA
rnacentral:tRNA from 3 species